CUCCUCGGAACUCCUCGUGUUGCACCCC
rnacentral:rRNA from 1 species